rnacentral:rRNA from 1 species
GAAUCCCGUCUUUGACACGGACUACCGAUGCUUUUGUGAUGCGCUCUCGAAGAGUCGAGUUGUUUGGGAAUGCAGCUCAAAAUGGGUGGUAAAUUCCAUCUAAAGCUAAAUAUUGGCGAGAGACCGAUAGCGAACAAGUACCGUGAGGGAAAGAUGAAAAGCACUUUGGAAAGAGAGUUAAACAGUACGUGAAAUUGUUGAAAGGGAAACGUUUGAAGUCAGUCGCGUUGGCCGAGACUCAACCUUGCUCUUUUGCUGGGUGCACUUCUCGGUCGACGGGUCAGCAUCAAUUUUGACCGCCGGAUAAAGGUCGGGGGAAUGUGGCGUCUCUCGGGAUGUGUUAUAGACCCUGAUUCGGAUACGGCGAUUGGGAUUGAGGAACUCAGCGUGCCUUUAUGGUCGGGGUAUCAACCCACGUAACACGCUUAGGAUGCUGGCAUAAUGGCUUUAAACGACCCGUCUUGAAACACGGACCAAGGAGUCUAACAUGUCUGCGAGUGUUUGGGUGGAAAACCCGAGCGCGUAAUGAAAGUGAUAGCUGGGAAACCCCUUUUGGAGAGGCACCGGCGCCCCGAGCUGACCUUCUGUGACGCAUCGGAGGUAGAGCAUAUAUGUUGGGACCCGAAAGAUGGUGAACUAUGCCUGAAUAGGGCGAAGCCAGAGGAAACUCUGGUGGAGGCUCGUAGCGAUUCUGACGUGCAAAUCGAUCGUCAAAUUUGGGUAUAGGGGCGAAAGACUAAUCGAACCAUCUAGUAGCUGGUUCCUGCC